CCUUGAGGUUCCAGAGCCCACUAAAGCAGGACUUCGGGGCCUCACUUUACCUUUCUCUUCCCUGGAGACCACUGAAAUGCACUGGCGAGAGAGCUGGGUUUAAUAUUCAUGAACCAGCCAGGCAUGAGUGAUUAGCUGACUCCUGUUGGAGGAGGAGGAAUAAUUGAAUGCGGUAUUUACGUAACAAGUUAAUGCUGCCACCCGCCUGUGGGGCUCCUUUGUGGGUCUGUCCUGCACCUCCCUACUUGCCCACAUUGUGUUUCUCCUCACCUGCCUUGGAUGGCCUAGGAGGAAGUGCAGUGGCUUUGCACCCCUCUGCAAUUGGGGCUGCCGUCUAAAUGAUAACAUUAUUUAGGGAACAGAACUCCAGUGCCUGGGAGAGCCUGUAAUGGGCUGGUCGGUGGCCUGCCCGGGGGGCUGGACCCCUAAACAAAACCCUUCUGCAGACUCUGAGAAAUGACAAGGGGAAGCUGAGAAGCUGAGACUGGGUUUUUGACAUGGGCCUUCUUGCCCCAAACCUUCAGGAGACCUUGAGCACAUUCCAUCCCAUUUUUUGGCUUCUUUCCUUUUCUGCAACACACAGGGCCCCAGCCCGACCCUCUGUGGUCUAGGACUGCAUUCCAGCUGCCUGGUUGAAGGCAGCAGGCAAGGGCAGAAGCCGGGGUGCGGGGCCAUUCAAAAGAGAACUGCUCUUUUGUGGCUGCAAAGGGGAGGUAAGGCACUGUUUCCAUGCCUUCCUCAAGAGCUGCCUUUGGGGUUACCCCUGGUCAGUGCUCACUUGGGGUCCUGGAAUCAAAGGUUCUUAGCUCAUAAUCACCUCAUUCAUGGCUGGCUGGGAGGUGUGCUGUGUGCAUGUCUGACCCUGGGCAUGAGGAACACCAGCCAAGUCCUUCUGGCUGCAGUUAAAAGGGCUCACCGGCCUCUCCCUGAAGAAACAGCAAACCAGAGGUCCCGUCUGGCUGGCAUGAAUGGAAGGGCAAACGCUCCGACCAAAUUGCUCUGGGAAUGUCAUUCUAAUUAUUGGAUCCUGACCCAGCAGCAUGCUGAUAAGCUCUGGGUUGGAGACGCCCUAUCUCAGAGGAGCUCCAAACCUGCUCAAGGCCUUUUCUUGCCCUCUGCAACUUUCCUGCCAAGCAAUUAGCCUCCAGGGGUAUCUGAGAGCGGGAGACUGGGAGGAGCGGGGUCCCUAGGGGUUGCAGUGGGGAGGGCUAACGGGCUGGGGAUGCCCCCUGUUGUGUUUCCAGGGAAAGCCUGUCCAGAUUGCCGUUGCCUUCUUUACCUUCAGUGUCAGAGUUGGGGUCCAGUCUGUAUUGUGGGGAGUAGGAAAAGCUUUUCUUGUUGAGCCCUGGGCUUCUGUUAGGGGUUGAAUUAUGUCCCUCCCCACACUCCACAUUCAUAUGUUGAAGCCCUAACCCCUAGUUCCUCAGAAUGUAACUGUAUAUGGAGAUACAGUCUUUAAAGAGGUCAUUACAUUAAAAUGAGGUCACUGGGGUGGGUCCUUAUCCAGUAAAACUGGUGUCCUUAGAAGAAGAGGAAAUUGGAACACGGACACGCACAAAGGAAAGACCAAGUGAAGAUACAGUGAGAAGAUGGCCAACGACAAGCCGAGGAACAGGGUCUCAGAGGACCCCAACCCUGCUGACACCUUGAUCUCGGGCUUUCAGCUUCCAGCACUGUGGCAAAAUUCAUUUCUACUGUUUAGGCCUCCCGGUCUGUGACAUGUUGUCACGGUGGCCACUGAAGACUCAGACAGCUUCCUUCUAGCUCUGGUUCUUCCACGGGUGUGCUUUCAGGUGCUCCGAGGGCCCGGUGGCAGGGAAAGCCAGGUCUCCAGGCUCCUGGCCCAGGGUGUGUUUAGGAGGCAGAGCCUUCUCUGACACAAGUAUGAGGAGCAGAGAGGUUUCUCUUCUUCAGUCUCCACUAGGUCCUGGCCUCCAUGGCUUCUAUAGGCAGGGACCUGGCCAGGGCAUUCACCAGAGACUUUGACAGGGAGUCCAGGCCCAGACCCCAUAGGCAGAGCCAGAAGCCCUGUGCCAGCUUCCCAGGGAGCACCGGGGCCCAACGCAGAGUCAAGAGCUGGCAUCAGCACAGGUGCAAGGUGGGGUUGGGAAGGGCAUGGCAGCUUGGGGGUCUGCAGUGCCAGGCAUUAGUCACAGGUGGCCUGGCAUGAGGUAGGUGGGCCGGCUUGAAGGUCUAGAAGAUGGAUAGACACCAGAGACUUGUAGUCUAUGUCUCCUUCUUGCUGUCCCCUGGAUGUCACCUCCCCUCUGCCCCCAGUGCUGAACUAACCCCCUUCAUCUUUUACUUGGGACUCCAUCAGUGACUCAUCAUUGCUUUUGGUGUGACUUACCAGCGGCUGCUCCGUCUGCCUCUUCCUUCCCCUCCAGGGUCAUUUUGAACACUCUUCCUUCCUGACAACUAAACUUUUCACUGUUUCCUAUCAUAACAUGUUAUUUUAUACUUCAUUUAACUAUCCACCCACCUAUCCAUUUAUCCACCCACCUACCCACCUAUCCAUCCACGCACCCACUCAUCCAUCCAUCCAUCCAUCCAUCCAUCCAUCCAUCCAGCAAAUAUUUGCCUAGUGUCUGCCUUGGGCACCCAUGCUGGACCCUGGUGCCACAGUGCUGAGCCCACGCCCAGCCCCUCCCCCCAUGAAGCUCACAGUUUAGCUAGGGAGCUAGAUAGACAUCAGCCCAUCAGAUGACUUACAUCUAAAAUUAUAAACUAAGACAUGCAGUGAAGGGAAAAAUCAGGGAGUGCUGAGCACAGAAAACCAUGGGACUGAUGGGGUUGGGGUUGAGAUGAGCUCCAUGUGGAGGAGGGGACAUUGUGUGGGCUGAGACCUGAACCGUGAGUCAGGUGAAUCAGGAGGAGGGGAAGGAAGGGUGUUCUUGGCAGAAGGGACCACACGUGUGAAGUCCCUGAGGUGGCUGGGAGCUGGAAGAAAGCCGAGUGACUGCAGCACAGAGUGAGAGGGUGGCGGUGGUGUUGGGCUGGGAGGUCCUGGGGGGGUUGCAUCUUCUUGUUUCUAGGGCAGUAACUGGUUCAUGCUGGGAACUCAGCGGGAAUUGAGGAAGGCAUGAGGUUGUCGCUAGUCAUUAUUUGCAGGGGAAUGGCAGUCUACUCAGGGACUCUUGCUGCACAUGACAGCACACCCCCUCCCCACCCCUGCCCCAUUUACCAUCUCUAAGGGGUGCUGCUAAGGUCAUCUGUCUACUCUGGAGCCCAGAAUCCCUUUGUUCCUCCCUCUUCCACUGUUAGUAUUUCGACAGGUUUUCCUCUAGGCUUUUUGGUGCAGGUCACUCAGAUUUCUGCAGGCCACCCUAGCCCAAGCAGUCACUUUGUUUCUCCGGCUCUGCCCUGCCCGUCAAAUCUACACACACGCUUCCUGGAUUCCUGUGGGUAUGUCUCGUGUGUGCUCACAAGCCAGGCAGUUUGAUCCUGUGUAGCAUCUGUCAUGUUUUAGUGUUGCCCCUGGUGAUGUCCAUGUCUGAGACCUCAGAUGUUGAGGCGGGGUGAAAAUGCCUCACCGUCACCUCCGCUGAGAGCAGCAACACCUCCAGGUGCCAAAGGGAUAUGCAGCCAGCCAGCCACGAAGCUGCCAUGCGGGGUCUGCCAAGAAGGCUGAGAAUGCGCCUGUUCUCCAUUCUACAUGACAGUUGGUAACCCGGACACCAGAACAACUGGCUGACCACUGCUUGAAAACAGUGCCCAGUGUCCACGUGUAGCUCUCACUCCUUCAGGCUUGGUCUAUGAAUUUGGGCUGGGGAUCAAAAUGUUGGGGGCAGGUGAUGCAGGCUCCCCAAUACCCCACCCCUCUGGGGUGCACACACUCAGGGCACUUCUCCCCCAAACCUUCAUGGAAACCAGCACAUGGAAAUUGUGACCUCACCUCACAAGAUAACCAAGCAGGCUUAAAAAUACCUAGAUCCUUAUAUGAACGUAGCUCAGGUGCUGACUUCACUCUAGUGUAGAGGGUGAUUUUAAUUUUGUAUGAAUUAUAAUCAAUAUGCUUUCCAUUUUGAGUGCUUUUUUUUACUCUACAUUGUAAGCAUGUUCAUAUUAUUACAGUCUUCAUAGGCAGAAUUCUUAGCAGCUCCUUGAUAGUUCAGUAAGGAGAUGCACCCCUUUUCCUAAGCACCCCCUAUUAUUGGACAUUUAGCUUAUUUCCAGAUUGUUGCUAUUUUUAAUGAUGUGCAUGGAACAUCACCAUAUAUUGGGCUAUUAGUGCAUAUUUUCAGAAUAAGAACGACCAACUUGAGAAGUAUAAAAGAGUUUGAUCCAUUAAGUUUAAUUGCCAUCCAACUAGUUUGUAGCAACUCACAAGUCCACCAAUAUUUUCCAUGGGUAGGUACCAGAUCCUUAACCGUAAUUGCUAUAGGAUCUGCCUGGCUGGAUUACCUCUCUUCAUAAUGACAAGAAUGAUUCUUGAAGCUCAGGGUUUUAUAAAGAGAAAAGGGAAUUAGUUAAGGACUGAAUGCAGACCAUAGAAUCAACUGCAUAGAGUUUCUAACCAACCAUUUAAACAUACAUAUAGAUCUAAAAUAACAAACUAUAUAUAGCUAUAGCGCCUGUGGGGAUCUUGUGUCAAUGGCACUCUCACCUCCUAGGAUGCAUGAGUGAGGAAGAAAUACCUUACUUAGCCUGGUAAGGUGAGGCCCUACUACUGCUCUGGAACACCCUUCUGUCAUCUGUAGGGGGAUCACCCCCUGCUUCUCCAUGCCCACCUUGGCCCCCAUUCUGACUGAUCCACACUGUAGCAGAUGCUCCCUCACCUGUAUUGAGAAUGGCCUGACAAUGGCUUAAGAGUUCUUACUCUAAAGUUGCGCAAAAUCUACGCUUCAGGGGCGGGGCCUUCAUCAGCUGUAUUUCUGAAGUUUUGUUUGCUUUGGCUCCUAUUUGCUACUAUUCAGACCUGCUGCAAAAGCUGAAAGUGUGACUGUCCUCCAGUUUAGCAAUUAUGUCUUCUGCAGGUCCCUGGUACACAAUGGCCAUCUCUCUCUCUUUUUUUUUUUUGCAUUUUGGUAGUAGGAGGUGUGUGUGGACCUUCCCAGCUAUUUACAGGAGGAGGAAAUCUACUUCUUCUACAUACAUGGUACCCAAAUUCAUACUAAGCUGUUUUCUAGGUUGCUUAAGUGCACCCUCCCACCCAGCGCAGCAGCCCUGUGCCCUGUGUAUGUGUGGGGAGGGAGGUUUAACUCUUUCAUGCUACGCCUACGUAGUCUAUGAACUAAGGUGAUAACUUAUACAGAUGGUCCCCAACUUCUGAUGGUGCAACGUCAUGACAUAUUGACUUUAUGAUGAUGUGAAACAGUUGCAAUUUUGAUGUAAUGUACAGUAUUCAAUUCAAUAAAUGACAGAUAUUCAGCACUUUAUUAUAAAAUAGGCUUUGUGUUAGAUGGCUUUGUCCAAUGGCAGGCUAACCUAAGUGUUCUGA
rnacentral:lncRNA from 1 species